rnacentral:rRNA from 1 species
GAGUUUGAUUCUGGCUCAGAACGAACGCUGGCGGCAGGCCUAACACAUGCAAGUCGAACGCCCCUUCGGGGGAGUGGCGCACGGGUGAGUAACGCGUGGGAACCUGGCUCUUGGUACGGAACAACCGCGGGAAACUGCGGCUAAUACCGUAUACGCCCUUUGGGGGAAAGAUUUAUCGCCGAGAGAUGGGCCCGCGUCUGAUUAGCUGGUUGGUGAGGUAACGGCUCACCAAGGCAUCGAUCAGUAGCUGGUCUGAGAGGAUGAUCAGCCACACUGGGACUGAGACACGGCCCAGACUCCUACGGGAGGCAGCAGUGGGGAAUAUUGGACAAUGGGCGCAAGCCUGAUCCAGCCAUGCCGCGUGAGUGAAGAAGGCCCUAGGGUUGUAAAGCUCUUUCAGUGGUGACGAUGAUGACGGUAGCCACAGAAGAAGCCCCGGCUAACUCCGUGCCAGCAGCCGCGGUAAUACGGAGGGGGCAAGCGUUGUUCGGAAUUACUGGGCGUAAAGGGCGCGUAGGCGGUCUGUUGCGUCAGGUGUGAAAGCCCCGGGCUCAACCUGGGAGGUGCACUUGAUACGGGCGGACUGGAAUCCGGGAGAGGAUGGUGGAAUUCCCAGUGUAGAGGUGAAAUUCGUAGAUA